GGACGUCUAUAAUAUUGUAGACGUCCGGCCCCCUCUAGAAGGGACGUUCAAAAGGCUGAAUGGUUCAACUACCCUGUCAGCCUCUUGAACGUCCGUUUUGGAGGGGGAUGGACGUCUAUAAUAUUAUAGACGUCCGGCCCCCUCCAGAACGGACGUUCAAAAGUGUGACGGGAGAGUUGAAGAGUUGAUUGCUUUAGCCUUUUGAACGUCCGUUAGAGGGGGAUGGACGUCUAUAAUAUUGUAGACGUCCAGUCCCCUCUAGAAGGGACGUUCAAAAGGCUGACAGG
rnacentral:SRP_RNA from 1 species